UUAGAGUUUGAUCCUGGCUCAGGAUGAACGCUAGCGGCAGGCUUAACACAUGCAAGUCGAGGGGCAGCAUAUAAGUAGCAAUACUUAUGAUGGCGACCGGCGCACGGGUGCGUAACGCAUAUGCAACCUACCCAUUACAGGGGGAUAACAUUGAGAAAUCGGUACUAAUACCCCAUAACAUCUCCGGAGGCAUCUCCGGGGGUUGAAAACUCCGGUGGUAAUGGAUGGGCAUGCGUUGUAUUAGUUAGUUGGUGGGGUAACGGCUCACCAAGACGACGAUACAUAGGGGGACUGAGAGGUUAACCCCCCACAUUGGUACUGAGACACGGACCAAACUCCUACGGGAGGCAGCAGUGAGGAAUAUUGGUCAAUGGACGCAAGUCUGAACCAGCCAUGCCGCGUGCAGGAAGACGGCUCUAUGAGUUGUAAACUGCUUUUGUACGAGGGUAAACUCGGGUACGUGUACCCGACUGAAAGUAUCGUACGAAUAAGGAUCGGCUAACUCCGUGCCAGCAGCCGCGGUAAUACGGAGGAUUCAAGCGUUAUCCGGAUUUAUUGGGUUUAAAGGGUGCGUAGGCGGUCGGAUAAGUUAGAGGUGAAAUCCCGGGGCUCAACUCCGGAAUUGCCUCUGAUACUGUUCGGCUAGAGAGUAGUUGCGGUAGGCGGAAUGUAUGGUGUAGCGGUGAAAUGCUUAGAGAUCAUACAGAACACCGAUUGCGAAGGCAGCUUACCAAGCUACAUCUGACGUUGAGGCACGAAAGCGUGGGGAGCAAACAGGAUUAGAUACCCUGGUAGUCCACGCAGUAAACGAUGAUAACUCGUUGUCGGCGAUACAAUGUCGGUGACUAAGCGAAAGCGAUAAGUUAUCCACCUGGGGAGUACGUUCGCAAGAAUGAAACUCAAAGGAAUUGACGGGGGCCCGCACAAGCGGAGGAACAUGUGGUUUAAUUCGAUGAUACGCGAGGAACCUUACCCGGGCUUGAAAGUUACUGACGCUUCUGGAAACAGGAGUUCCCUUCGGGGCAGGAAACUAGGUGCUGCAUGGUUGUCGUCAGCUCGUGCCGUGAGGUGUCGGGUUAAGUCCCAUAACGAGCGCAACCCCUACCGUUAGUUGCCAUCAGGUAAAGCUGGGCACUCUGGCGGGACUGCCGGUGUAAGCCGAGAGGAAGGUGGGGAUGACGUCAAAUCAGCACGGCCCUUACGUCCGGGGCUACACACGUGUUACAAUGGCAGGUACAGAGGGCAGCUACCUCGUGAGAGGAUGCGAAUCUCGAAAGCCUGUCUCAGUUCGGAUUGGAGGCUGAAACCCGCCUCCAUGAAGUUGGAUUCGCUAGUAAUCGCGCAUCAGCCAUGGCGCGGUGAAUACGUUCCCGGGCCUUGUACACACCGCCCGUCAAG
rnacentral:rRNA from 1 species